CCAAUAGCGUAUAUUAAAGUUGUUGCAGUUAAAAAGCUCGUAGUUGAAUUUCGGGAUCAAUAUGUCGGUCGUGCCUUCGGUACGUACUGGUAUCAUUGGUCUCUCCUUUCUGACGAACCAUGGUGUCAUUAAUUUGGUGUUAUGGGGAGUUAGGACUGUUACUUUGAAAAAAUUAGAGUGUUUAAAGCAGGCUUUAGCUUGAAUACAUUAGCAUGGAAUAAUGAAAUAGGACGUUCGAACCUAUUUUGUUGGUUUCUAGGAUCAACGUAAUGAUUAAUAGGGAUAGUUGGGGGCAUUAGUAUUCAAUUGUCAGAGGUGAAAUUCUUGGAUUUAUUGAAGACUAACUACUGCGAAAGCAUUUGCCAAGGAUGUUUUCAUUAAUCAAGAACGAAAGUUAGGGGAUCGAAGACGAUCAGAUACCGUCGUAGUCUUAACCAUAAACUAUGCCGACUAGGGAUCGGAUGAUGUUAAUUUUUUAAUGACUCAUUCGGCGCCUUACG
rnacentral:rRNA from 1 species